rnacentral:rRNA from 1 species
GAGGUGGCAAGCGUUGUCCGGAAUUAUUGGGGCGUAAAGCGCGCGCAGGCGGUUCUUUAAGUCUGAUGUGAAAGCCCACGGGCUCAACCGUGGAGGGUCAUUGGAAACUGGAGAACUUGAGUACAGAAGAGGAAAGCGGAAUUCCACGUGUAGCGGUGAAAUGCGUAGAGAUGUGGAGGAACACCAGUGGCGAAGGCGGCUUUCUGGUCUGUAACUGACGCUGAGGCGCGAAAGCGUGGGGAGCAAACAGGAUUAGAUACCCUGGUAGUCCACGCCGUAAACGAUGAGUGCUAAGUGUUAGGGGGUUUCCGCCCCCUUAGUGCUGCAGCUAACGCAUUAAGCACUCCGCCUGGGGAGUACGGCCGCAAAGGCUGA